rnacentral:rRNA from 1 species
AGUGAACGCUGGCGGUAGGCCUAACACAUGCGAGUCGAACGGCAGCACAGUAAGAGCUUGCUCUUACGGGUGGCGAGUGGCGGACGGGUGAGGAAUACAUCGGAAUCUACUUUUUCGUGGGGGAUAACGUAGGGAAACUUACGCUAAUACCGCAUACGACCUACGGGUGAAAGCAGGGGAUCUUCGGACCUUGCGCGAUUGAAUGAGCCGAUGUCGGAUUAGCUAGUUGGCGGGGUAAAGGCCCACCAAGGCGACGAUCCGUAGCUGGUCUGAGAGGAUGAUCCAGCACACUGGAACUGAGACACGGUCCAGACUCCUACGGGAGGCAGCAGUGGGGAAUAUUGGACAAUGGGCGCAAGCCUGAUCCAGCCAUACCGCGUGGGUGAAGAAGGCCUUCGGGUUGUAAAGCCCUUUUGUUGGGAAAGAAAAGCAGCAGGUUAAUACCCCGCUGUUCUGACGGUACCCAAAGAAUAAGCACCGGCUAACUUCGUG